rnacentral:rRNA from 1 species
GACGAACGCUGGCGGCGUGCUUAACACAUGCAAGUCGAACGGAAAGGCCCUGCUUUUGUGGGGUGCUCGAGUGGCGAACGGGUGAGUAACACGUGAGUAACCUGCCCUUGACUUUGGGAUAACUUCAGGAAACUGGGGCUAAUACCGGAUAGGAGCUCCUGCUGCAGGGAGGGGGUUGGAAAGUUUCGGCGGUUGGGGAUGGACUCGCGGCUUAUCAGCUUGUUGGUGGGGUAGUGGCUUACCAAGGCUUUGACGGGUAGCCGGCCUGAGAGGGUGACCGGCCACAUUGGGCCUGCGAUACGGCCCAGACUCCUACGUGGGGCAGCAGUGGGGAAUAUUGCACAAUGGGCGGAAGCCUGAUGCAGCAACGCCGCGUGCGGGAUGACGGCCUUCGGGUUGUAAACCGCUUUCGCCUGUGACGAAGCGUGAGUGACGGUACUGGGUAAAGAAGCACCGGCUAACUACGUG